CAGGCUCGAUACAGGGAAUAGGCAAAUGUUCCAGAUUCGCCCGCGUUUGCAAACUGAACCUGUUGCAAGGCUUGCAGGUUUUGAGGUUCCUCCCCCUCCCCAAAAUAGCUGUUUGGGGAUUAAAAUUGUUCCAGGCUGCUGCAGGAGGACAUUUUUUAUUCCCUGAAAGAUGCAGCUGUGUCCGAGAGGAACAUUUCGGGAGGAUCCUUGUGAGGGUUUGGCUACUCUCCUUUCUUUUGGAAUCCAUCCCUGUGCAUACAUCACAGCAACAGAGUCCAUUUUCAGAGAUUCAUCCCCCUUCUCCUGGCAGCAUUCCCCCUCUCUUUGCCUCUUUCCUCCCCUCUGACUUCUCCCUGGCUUUUGUUCCCAGUUUACCAAGAUGUUGUAAUGUUCCCUGCUGCUCCUCACAGUGCUGCCCAUGGGGAUAGAUGCCAUCACAGGAAGGAGGGAGACAAAUCCUGUGGGGAAACCCUGGGAGAAAGAAUCCAGGCUUCCACAGAGGCUGCUGCCAGUGUCACAAACAUGGGCCAUAUGGUCAGAAAUGAUCUUCUGGAAAACAAAUCAAACAUCCAGAGGAGUGUGAACACUUCCUGGCAGCUAUCUUUCCUGGGAACUGGACUGGUGAGGAAUUGUCAUUUAUAACAGUAGCCACAAGGUUUUGUUUUAUGUAAAUUGCUCGCUUUUACUUUGCUAGCUGUUUUUAGUUAGAAAAUUUACUUCAGGGAUGUGAUGUUGUGAAUCCUUUCAUUUUUUUCCCCCUCAGUUCAGGGUGAAUUCCUUAAAUCUGUCUGUUUUACCCAGCGGAGAUGAAGGGAACUGUGACCAGCAUGAGUGCUCCUGGUAGGACAGCCUGAGCAGCUCCUCAGCAAAGCUCAGCCUUCCCAUCUGACAUGAACAAACACACCUCAUGGACUUGAUCUACCUUAUCCCGCUAAAAAUCCCAGGGAAAUUUCCCCUCAGAGGUCUCCCAAAAUCCCAGUUCUUGCUCUGUGGACACUCCAGAUUGUGGCAGUGUCACACCCUCAGUUGUUGCAUCUCUGUCGUAAUAUUGCUGCUCCAUUUGGCUACAGGGGAGACAGCAGAACGAGUUCAAAGGAGAGAAAUAAACAGCACUAGGUAGGAAUUCGUGCA
rnacentral:lncRNA from 1 species